GACGAACGCUGGCGGCGUGCUUAACACAUGCAAGUCGAACGGAAAGGCCCUGCUUUUGUGGGGUGCUCGAGUGGCGAACGGGUGAGUAACACGUGAGUAACCUGCCCUUGACUUUGGGAUAACUUCAGGAAACUGGGGCUAAUACCGGAUAGGAGCUCCUGCUGCAUGGUGGGGGUUGGAAAGUUUCGGCGGUUGGGGAUGGACUCGCGGCUUAUCAGCUUGUUGGUGGGGUAGUGGCUUACCAAGGCUUUGACGGGUAGCCGGCCUGAGAGGGUGACCGGCCACAUUGGGACUGAGAUACGGCCCAGACUCCUGCGGGAGGCAGCAGUGGGGAAUGUUGCACAAUGGGCGGAAGCCUGAUGCAGCAACGCCGCGUGCGGGAUGACGGCCUUCGGGUUGUAAACCGCUUUCGCCUGUGACGAAGCGUGAGUGACGGUAAUGGGUAAAGAAGCACCGGCUAACUACGU
rnacentral:rRNA from 1 species